AUUACGCUCUGAGCUUGGCUGCUCUCGAAGCUGCCCCCAGCAAGAACAACCUCUCUCUCUCUCUCUCUCUCUCGCUGUGUGCGUGUGUGUGUGGAGAGAAUAAGACAGAGAUCAGAAAGAUAAAAAGAAGAAAGUGAAUAAAGGGGUCUCAGGUCUGGCCGGGUUACGAGCCAUAGCGGUUCGACUUGGUGGUGGUGGGAAUAGGAGAAGAAAGCCCAGAAAGAAACUCAGGGUGAAGGAAAAGUUGAUGGAUUUAUGGCAGAAAAUGAUUUUCCCUGUCAGGCGUGUUUGGAUUUCUGUUUCUGCUCGCGUUAAGUCUCGCAAAAAUGGUGCUGGGCUGUUGAAGCUUCACAAUGAUGUACAAACCUGUGGAUAUCAAGACGUCCAUGUGAUGUGGGAAAUGUUGAGCAAAUCAGAAUCAAUUAGGCCGAUAGGUCCCCAUCCCAAGCCGAAGCAACGGCCUUUCUGGAGGGUUUUUAUGUGGUCUAACCAUAAUGCAGCCUCGUCCUUCUCUGCACAUCAAGCUUAAAACAACACUCACAUCUCAUGCUAUAAGAAUAAUACGUUGCUAAUGUCCUGCGACCUGACAUGGCAUCACCUUUUUACGAUCAAAUUGCCAACAUUGCAGUGGCAUGGUACAUAGUUAUUGCAAGAAUAAUAUGAAAUAUGUAUCCGGUUUACCUAUGUUGAGUGAAAAAGAAAUACUACCCAAUGAUGAAGUACUGUGUAAAUAUAAUAAUACUUUGCUGUAUCCAAGAUCAACUCAUUUGGGAAUAGUU